UGGGGAAUUUUGGACAAUGGGCGCAAGCCUGAUCCAGCCAUGCCGCGUGCGGGAAUGAGGCCUUCGGGUUGUAAACCGCUUUUGUCAGGGAAGAAAUCCUUUGGGCUAAUACCUCGGAGGGAUGACGGUACCUGAAGAAUAAGCACCGGCUAACUACGUGCCAGCAGCCGCGGUAAUACGUAGGGUGCAAGCGUUAAUCGGAAUUACUGGGCGUAAAGCGUGCGCAGGCGGUCUUGCAAGACAGAUGUGAAAUCCCCGGGCUCAACCUGGGAACUGCAUUUGUGACUGCAAGGCUAGAGUACGGUAGAGGGGGAUGGAAUUCCGCGUGUAGCAGUGAAAUGCGUAGAUAGGCGGAGGCACACCGAUGGCGAAGGCAAUCCCCUGGACCUGGACUGACGCUCAUGCACGACAGCUUGGGGAGCAAAC
rnacentral:rRNA from 1 species